AGUGUGAAGGCAGGGAAAGCCCUCUGGGUAUUAAGAACACCGCACUGCAAGGGCUGGGCCCCUGCCCACUGUUUACCUGGUCCCUGCACUUCCUCUAACUCCACUGUCAUGGGGAGACCCCAACCCACUGUUCUUUACUAUGUGCCCUUCCCAGGGCUGUGGAUCCCACCUCCCUUAUCUAUUGUUCUUCCUACCCAACUCACACUCGCGGCCCUGCUGUGGAACGCUUGGAUUCUGUGGAACGCAUUCCGAUUUCUGUCUUGGAUACCCCUGUUUCCAAGACAUCUUUAGGCACAAACCCCCUGACCUUUACUCUCAGGCCCACUGGCAACUGGCCCCUUCACAAUCUCCCACAGGGGCUCAACUUAGGCUCACAGCUCCAGUUCAGAAAAAGAGAAGAGCUUUUGUGAGGGGACAGAGGUCUCCAGUGCCAUGGCUCCUCUUUGUCCUGAUAAGGCUUCCACUGGGCCCAGGCAGCUCUGGGCUGGAGUCACCUAUGAGCACUGAGGCUACAGGAUAUCAGGACCACUGGUUGAUGUGAUGGAGCCAUUCGACUUCAUGAGGCUUUGCAGGGGCUGCUGUCCAGUGGUGACGGUGUGACAAUGAAAGAAGUUUGGACUCUGACUAAAGAAACAUUCCUCCACGGGGCUGGUGUUGUCUUUC